rnacentral:rRNA from 1 species
AGUGAACGCUGGCGGUAGGCCUAACACAUGCAAGUCGAACGGCAGCACAGAGGAGCUUGCUCCUUGGGUGGCGAGUGGCGGACGGGUGAGGAAUACAUCGGAAUCUACUCUGUCGUGGGGGAUAACGUAGGGAAACUUACGCUAAUACCGCAUACGACCUACGGGUGAAAGCAGGGGACCUUCGGGCCUUGCGCGAUUGAAUGAGCCGGUGUCGGAUUAGCUAGUUGGCGGGGUAAAGGCCCACCAAGGCGACGAUCCGUAGCUGGUCUGAGAGGAAGAUCAGCCACACUGGAACUGAGACACGGUCCAAACUCCUACGGGAGGCAGCAGUGGGGAAUAUUGGACAAUGGGCGCAAGCCUGAUCCAGCCAUACCGCGUGGGUGAAGAAGGCCUUCGGGUUGUAAAGCCCUUUUGUUGGGAAAGAAAUCCAGCUGGCUAAUACCCGGUUGGGAUGACGGUACCCAAAGAAUAAGCACCGGCUAACUUCGUGCCAGCCGCCGCGGUAA